CUGUCUUUCUGCCGCCAUUUUGUGUCGCAGCAGCCGGAUAAGGAGAACGCGAGCAGGCGGUUUUAUCGGGAGCGUCCUCGGGAAAUUCAGUCCCUGCUUUCUCUCCCCUCCCCUCCCGACUCUAUUUUUUUCAGACUUUCUCUGUAAUUUCCUCGAUCUCUGCGCCCUGUGAGUAUUUCGAAAGAAAAUGGUCAAGAUUUUCGUGGGUAACCUGCCGCGGCCUACCACCGCCGAGGAAAUCCGGGCCCUGUUCGAGAAGUACGGCGAAGUUAGCGAGUGUGACCUCAUCAAGAAUUAUGGAUUUGUGCAUAUGGACAACAAGGAAGCUGCAAAGGAGGCCAUUGAGAAUCUGCAUCACUACAAACUGCAUGGGGUUGCCAUCAAUGUGGAAGCCAGCAAAAGCAUGACCAAAUCCUCCACCAAACUCCAUGUGGGCAAAGUGAGCCCCAACUGCACCAGCCAGGAGUUGCAGGCUAAGUUUGAGGAGUAUGGCACUGUGCUUGAAUGUGACAUUAUCAAAGAUUAUGCGUUUGUGCACAUGGAGAGGGGUGAGGAUGCCAUGGCAGCCAUCAAGGGGUUGGACGGUACAGAGUUCAAAGGCAAACGGAUUCAUGUUGAACUGUCUAAGAGUCGGCUGCGGGUACAGCCUGGGAUGGGCGAGAAAAACACCUGUUUCCGUUGUGGGAAGGAUGGCCAUUGGUCCAAAGAGUGCCCUGCAGAUCGACAGGAGAUGGGCAUUGGCUUUGCCCAUGACUACCUUGACCCCUAUGCCAUGCACCACCGUUAUGGGGAGCAGCCCUUUUACGACAGCAGGUAUGUCGACUACUAUGAGAAGUAUCGAGCUGGGGCAUACGGAGCGGUGGGCACUCCAUAUCCAGACCGUUGGGGUACACCUAUGGCUGGCUACGGUGCUUCUAUGAGAGAACGCAUGCCCAAAGCAUUGGAGGCAUACAGCCAGAGCUCCAUAAGUCAACCGCCAACCUAUUAUGCCCGGGAUCGGAGCCCUCUGCGGCGGCCAACCGCGUCGACGAUCACCGACUACGCCACUGCCGCGACUGAGUACGCAGCUGCUGCAGCCGCUGCUGCUGCCACCAACUCUGACUAUGGGGCGGCCACUUCCACUGCCGAGUAUACCGCCAGUGACUACGCCGCUGCUGCUGCUAGCUACGCCGCUCAAGACUACGCUAGUGCCAACUACGCCACUGGCAACUACGCUGCUGCUACCACCACUGCCGACUAUGCCAGCGCCAACUACAGCACGAGUGACUACGCUGCCGCCGCCGCUGCCUAUGCGUAUGACUACGGACAUACCAUGAGCAACAGUGGCGCCUACUCUACAGCGGGUACGACAGCAGAGGCCUUCGCGGAGCACUCUCAGUACUCUGCCUAUUAGCCACAAGGUGAGUGGAUCCUUUUCUUUAAGAUGACUAUAGUUUGGCUGCACGUUCUACAAUUGUAAUUGGGCAGCUUGUCAAUUCUGAGAAUUGGCCCCACCUUCCCUUCUCCGUACUUUAACUUGUUGCAGUAAGGUUCCGGUUCUGUGAGUGGCGGUGUAGUGUUUCUGAGCGGGUUCUUGGAGCGCCGUUCCUGUUUUUUUUUUGCGUGCGCGUGUUUUUUUUUCCUUUUUUAAUUUUCUCAUUUCUGAAGUGCUUCUGUUGUUUUUGCUCUGUUGAGAAUGGUAGCUCGCGCGGUGUUGGUGCCUGCUUUCUCAUCCUCAGGUCCUUUCCAUGCACCAAUGGGUCUCUUCCUUCCGCUGCCUACCAGACUAGGAGGGAGAGGAGAGGCGAGCAGGUGGGGGGUGGAUGGAAGCUUUUCCUCCCGCCACACACAUCUACACUGUUGGAUCGUGCUCUUCCUUUGUGACAGCGUGCCUGUACGCGCAGCACCUCCCAUCGGCCUGGCUUCGGUUCCGAUUUCUGCCCCGGGUAAAUUUGCGUCCUGUUCGUUUUGUGCCUGUUGGAAACCCAGCUCCUGUUUCACACCAGCGGAGCCAGUGGAAAAUAGCAACUCUCAGACUAGCUUCAGGUUACAUUUUGUGGUAACUGGCGCAGCAACUGUUUCUCUUGUCCGUUUUUUAAAAUUUUUAUUUUCUUUCUGUUGAAACUUUCUUUUUUAACCUAAGCCCUAGCCCUACCUCCACCCCCCCCCCACAAUCCCCCAUCCACUCCCAACUCAUUUUCUCCUAUUAAACCACCCCUCCUACCCUCACUGAACUCUCUCAGGGAUGAGGUUCCAAUAGGCGCCCCCUUCCCGAGUGAUGCUUUUCCUUUUUGUUUUCCAUUCAGCGGCUGUCGGCAGCGCAGAGCGACGCGGCGCGGACCAAGUGCGUGACCUCUCGACAGACGCUCGCCAAUUUCGCCAUCGGCUGAGGCUCGAGGGAGAGAGAAAGACAGAGAGAGGGAGACGGAAGUGCAGAGUAUGCACGGAGCCAGAAUGUUAGCCGCACCACCGAAAACAGAAAUUUAAACUGACUGCUGCGUGGUGACGUGUGUAAGAAUCUGAUCGCAAUCUAAGGAGGACUCCAGUGGGAGGCUGCCGCGUUGUCAGCUCCGGGUGACGGGUGUUCCCGUUUUGUGUGCAGUUCCACAAAUCGUGUGUUUGCAUAGUUCCUCUUGCAUAGUUGAACUUGAGCAUUUAAACAAGGUCAAUCAAAAUUUAACAAGGAGCCACAGGUGGAGUUGCUACCACGGGUGACCAACGGUUUGGUCACAGAGCCAGGUUUUAAGGCAGGACUUUAAAGGAGAAUGGGAGGAAAGGGACUUCAUGAGCUCAGGCUCAAGGAUGACAAAAGCAGCGCAGUUAUGGGACAGUGGAAAUGGCGAGUGCGCAGGAGGCCAAAUUGAGGGAGCGCCAAGAUCUUGAAGUUCACAGGACUGGAAGAGCCAAAACCCCUGAAGAAUUUGAGUACAGACAUGAGAAUUCUAUAGUCUAGGCAUUGGCUCCCAUUUUGGCACUCUAGGUUAGCAAGCAUGGGCAACAAAGGUUUGUGCACAUUAGGAUACUGAUGGCAUGUUUUGAGCGAACUGGAGUUUAAAGGGUGGGAUGUCAGCCAGGAGGAUGUUGGUUGCAAAUGUUUUUGGACAUAAAGACAUCUUCUGUUGACCAUGAACUUGACCAGUGAGUGUGCUUUUUGUGUAUUGAGUCAGGUUUAAUUCGUCAGCCCUGUCUUCCCAGGAACUGUCACUGGUUAAAUGAUCAGAAGCAAAAAAAAAAGCCAGAACUCUCUGUCCUCUUAAUAACCUGCAGCAGAUAGAUAUAACCUUGUUUCCCCCACACCAAAAUUUUGCUCACCAAUCUGGAUGAUAACUGAUCCUGGGUUACUACGCUGCCUGGCCCCUGUGUACCACGCCGAAGUGGUAGACUCCAAAAACCAGACAGUCAAGAGUUGGAGCAGACAAGGCAGUGAAAUUUUGAUGAAAUAAAAAUAAAUUUUUCCACCAUCUUUUCUUUUCCCUUCCACUCUUUGUCUAUACAGUCACCCUUCCCCACUCUCCCUCCCCACCCCUCUUCCAGGUGUCAUGCUGAUCUGUAUCUUUUAAAGAAAAACUGUCAGAGUAUUUAGAGGUGGCAGUGGCUGUUUUCUGAGCUGCUCGCUUUUGCGAGUUGUGUGUACAUACUACUCCUGUGGCGGGCAGCGUGUCUUUGAACAGUUUGUGAUGUGCUUCCUUUUGCAGGUUUGGUAAUACCCGUUGACGAGAACCGCGGUUUCCCCUGGUACACACAAACUCGGGUCGUACGUUGUGCGGAUUACACUCACCGUCGGGAUUUAGCGCGGAGGACACCAGGGAAAAUGCUAUCUGUAUACCUAAAUAUUGAUGGUUCUCUUUUUUUUUAUUAAAAAUAAAAAAAGGAAAUAAAUAGCAGCAAAACUUUGCCCCCCCCCCCCCAAUUUCCCAAGAUGAUCUGUGACCAUAUUUUUCGCUUUUUUUUUGGAAGUUAUGUAUGUUGCAAUUUUUUUUCCAAAGGAAGAGAAUAAAAGUCAUUUUUGGUUUUAAUGUUAUUUGUAACUGUGUUUUGUAAUGGUGGAACUCUCUCUAAUAUGGAGUUGUCCUCUAGUUUGAAGUUGAAUGUGGCUGUAAUUCUGCCACCCUUGUAGUACCCUGCAAUAAACGAUCAGUAUUUGACCUGA